rnacentral:rRNA from 1 species
UUUCGAAUCAUUCACAAUGGGCGAAAGCCUGAUGGUGCGACGCCGCGUGAGGGAUGAAGGCCUUCGGGUUGUAAACCUCUGUCACUGGGGAAGAAACGCUUCAAGUUAAUAGUUUGAAGCCUGACUUAACCCAGAGAGGAAGCAGUGGCUAACUCUGUGCCAGCAGCCGCGGUAAUACAGAGACUGCAAGCGUUAUUCGGAUUCACUGGGCGUAAAGGGUGCGCAGGCGGCCGUGUGUGUUAGGUGGGAAAGCCCGGGGCUUAACCUCGGAAUUGCGCCUAAAACUACACGGCUAGAGCAUUGGAGAGGGUAGCGGAAUUCACGGUGUAGCAGUGAAAUGCGUAGAUAUCGUGAGGAACACCAGAGGCGAAGGCGGCUACCUGGACAAUUGCUGACGCUCAGGCACGAAAGCGUGGGGAGCAAAAG